GUAACGGCUGCAAGAGAGAAAAAAAA
rnacentral:sRNA from 1 species